rnacentral:rRNA from 1 species
CCUACGGGUGGCAGCAGUGAGGAAUAUUGGUCAAUGGGCGCGAGCCUGAACCAGCCAAGUAGCGUGAAGGAUGACUGCCCUACGGGUUGUAAACUUCUUUUAUAAAGGAAUAAAGUGAGGCACGUGGGCCUUUGUGUAUGUACUUUAUGAAUAAGGAUAGGCUAACUCCGUGCCAGCAGCCGCGGUAAUACGGAGGAUCCGAGCGUUAUCCGGAUUUAUUGGGUUUAAAGGGAGCGUAGAUGGGUUGUUAAGUCAGUUGUGAAAGGUUGCGGCUCAACCGUAAAAUUGCAAUUGAUACUGGCAGUCUUGAGUACAGUUGCGGUAUGCUGAAUUCGUGUUGUAGCGGUGACAUUCUUAGCUAUCACGCAGAACUCCGAUUGCGACGGCAGCUUACUAAACUGCCCCUGACAUUGAUGCUCGAAAGUGUGGGUAUCACACAGGAUUAGCUACCCCGGUAGUC